rnacentral:rRNA from 1 species
CUAACACAUGCAAGUCGAGGGGUAGGGUUAGCUUGCUAACCUGAGACCGGCGCACGGGUGCGUAACGCGUAUGCAAUCUACCUUGUACAGGGGGAUAGCCCAGAGAAAUUUGGAUUAAUACCCCAUAGUAUUAUUGAAUGGCAUCAUUUAAUUAUUAAAGUUCCAACGGUACAAGAUGAGCAUGCGUCCCAUUAGUUAGUUGGUAAGGUAACGGCUUACCAAGACGAUGAUGGGUAGGGGUCCUGAGAGGGAGAUCCCCCACACUGGUACUGAGACACGGACCAGACUCCUACGGGAGGCAGCAGUGAGGAAUAUUGGACAAUGGGCGCAAGCCUGAUCCAGCCAUGCCGCGUGCAGGAUGAAGCAUCUAUGGUGUGUAAACUGCUUUUAUACAGGAAGAAACCCUACCACGUGUGGUA